GGUGGCGUAGCCAAGUGGUAAGGCACGGGUCUGCAAAACCCUUAUUCGUCGGUUCGAUUCCGACCGCCACCU
rnacentral:tRNA from 1 species